rnacentral:rRNA from 1 species
AGUGAACGCUGGCGGUAGGCCUAACACAUGCAAGUCGAACGGCAGCACAGUAAGAGCUUGCUCUUACGGGUGGCGAGUGGCGGACGGGUGAGGAAUACAUCGGAAUCUACUUUUUCGUGGGGGAUAACGUAGGGAAACUUACGCUAAUACCGUAUACGACCUACGGGUGAAAGCAGGGGAUCUUCGGACCUUGCGCGAUUGAAUGAGCCGAUGUCGGAUUUGCUAGUUGGCGGGGUAAAGGCCCACCAAGGCGACGAUCCGUAGCUGGUCUGAGAGGAUGGUCAGCCACACUGGAACUGAGACACGGUCCAGACUCCUACGGGAGGCAGCAGUGGGAAAUAUUGGACGAUGGGCGCAAGCCUGAUCCAGCCAUACCGCGUGGGUGAAGAAGGCCUUCGGGUUGUAAAGCCCUUUUGUUGGGAAAGAAAAGCAGCAGGUUAAUACCCCGCUGUUCUGACGGUACCCAAAGAAUAAGCACCGGCUAACUUCGUG